rnacentral:rRNA from 1 species
UACGUAGGGGGCAAGCGUUGUCCGGAAUCAUUGGGCGUAAAGCGCGCGUAGGUGGCCAUUUAAGUCCGCUGUGAAAGUCAAAGGCUCAACCUUUGAAAGCCGGUGGAUACUGGAUGGCUAGAGUACGGAAGAGGCGAGUGGAAUUCCUGGUGUAGCGGUGGAAUGCGCAGAUAUCAGGAGGAACACCAAUAGCGAAGGCAGCUCGCUGGGACGUUACUGACACUGAGGCGCGAAAGCGUGGGGGAGCGAACAGG